AUUUAAAUAGCUUAUAUUAAAGUGUAGUAUUGAAGAUACUGAGAAAAUAAAAUUUAUUUUUAAAUA
rnacentral:tRNA from 1 species